CACAACAAUAAUCCAUUAAUCAAUUUGUUUAUUUAACAAAUACGUAUUGAGUUCCCACUCAUUGGUAAUGACUCUUCUAUGCACUGAAGAAACAGCAAUGGACAAGGCAAACAAAAUUCCUGCAUUCAUGAAGCUUCCAUUCUGGCAAGUGAGCAAAUACGUAAUAUCAAAUAGUAAUAACUUCAAAGAAAAAAAUAAAAUAGAGUAAGAGUAUGGGCAGGGACAGUGGGAGGAUGCAAGGUGCUAUUUUUGAUAGAUUGGACAAGCCUUCUUAAGGAUGUCUGAAUGAAGUGCAGGACAAAGCCAUAAGUAGAUGGUAGAACCGAGUUCCAAGCAGGGGAAUAGCAAAUACAAAGGCCCUGAGGCAGGAAUGAGCUUGCUUCUUUCAAGGAACAAUAAGAAGAUUUGAGAAGCGUGUGCAUUGGAAAGUGUGGUAGAAAAUGAAGUCAGAGCAGCCAAGAAGGAGGAGGCCAUGAAAAAAUGUUUGAAUUUUUUUGAGUGUAUCAGAAAGCUGUACAAAGGUUUCAAACAGGGAAGUGGCAUUAUCUGAUUUGAAUUUUGAAAAGUUCAUGCACCCUAGAUGUUGUGUGAAGAACUCAUUAUAUGGACAUCAGCUAUCACUGGAUGAGAUAUGAUGGUGGCUUAGAUUCAUCUGCUCACAUGUGGAAGACUGUGGGAGGAGGUUUUUGGAGAGAAGUAAAGAGUUCUGUUGUGUACAUGUUAAACUUGAGAAAUUUUUAGACAGCCAAGUAGAGACUUUGAGGAGGCAGUUGAAUAUAGAAAUCCAGAACUUCACUGGAAUUAAUAGCUCUGGAGAUAAAAAUGUGGAAGUUGUCAAUGGCUAGAUGUAUGAAAAGGCUGGGACCAAAUGUGAUCAUCUGGAGGUGAAUAUAAAUAGAAAAAAGAGC
rnacentral:lncRNA from 1 species